rnacentral:rRNA from 1 species
AGAGUUUGAUCCUGGCUCAGAUUGAACGCUGGCGGCAUGCCUAACACAUGCAAGUCGAACGGCAGCAUGAUGUGUAGCAAUACACAUUGAUGGCGAGUGGCGGACGGGAGAGUAACACGUGGGAACGUGCCCAUCAGUUCGGAACAACCCAGGGAAACUUGGGCUAAUACCGGAUACGCCCUUACGGGGAAAGAUUUAUCGCUGAUGGAGCGGCCCGCGUCUGAUUAGCUUGUUGGUGAGGUAACGGCUCACCAAGGCGACGAUCAGUAGCUGGUCUGAGAGGAUGAUCAGCCUCACUGGGACUGAGACACGGCCCAGACUCCUACGGGAGGCAGCAGUGGGGAAUAUUGGACAAUGGGCGCAAGCCUGAUCCAGCCAUGCCGCGUGGAUGAUGAAGGCCUUAGGGUUGUAAAGUCCUUUCGGCGGGGAAGAUAAUGACGGUACCCGCAGAGAGCC